UCUCAUCCUCUCUGACCCCUGGCCAUGCUGGAUGGGUCAGAGGGGAAUUGGAGUCCAGCAUUAUCCAGAGGACACCCCAUUUGAUGCCCCCGAUAGACAGAAUCCAGCCUGUAAAUAAGGAACGUCAAUGCAUCCACUCAAAACACAUUUAACCGGGCAGAAGCCCCACUCAAUGCAAGAAGGUUUACUUCUGACAACGUGUGGAGAUGGCGAGGCUGUAUUUGCAGAGGGCAUUUGAAGCUGACGCCCUGUUCAAUUUCUUUUUCAUUUUCUUCCCAUCUGAGGUCUCCA